rnacentral:lncRNA from 1 species
AAAUUCCUAGUAAGAUAGGUUAAAGUUAGUCGUUGAAGUGAUAAGGUGUAAUAUUCUUGAGAUGAGAGCUCUAAAAAAUAUAGUAUAAUGAAUCUGUGGUUUACACUAGUACUAUUGUGUCAUGCUUUAUACCUUGUGAUUUUGAGUAGGCUUGAACAUAGUAAGAAAAUUCAAUUCUGCUCAAACUUUUAUAGAUAGAGUUACUAAUGCCCAUAUGAAGAUUAUAAGUGGCCUC